CCUACGGGUGGCAGCAGUGGGGGAUAUUGCACAAUGGGGGAAACCCUGAUGCAGCGACGCCGCGUGGGCGAAGAAGUAUUUCGGUAUGUAAAGCCCUAUCAGCAGGGAAGAAGAAAUGACGGUACCUGAGUAAGAAGCACCGGCUAAAUACGUGCCAGCAGCCGCGGUAAUACGUAGGGUGCAAGCGUUAUCCGGAUUUACUGGGCGUAAAGGGAGCGCAGGCGGCACGGCAAGCCUGAUGUGAAAGCCCGCGGCCCAACCGGGGGACUGCAUUGGGAACUACCGGGCUGGAGUGCCGGAGAGGUAGGUGGAAUUCCUAGUGUAGCGGUGAAAUGCGUAGAUAUGAGGAGGAACACCAGAGGCGAAGGCAGCCUACUGGACGGGGACUGACGCUGAGGCUCGAAAGCGUGGGGAGCAAACAGGAUUAGAUACCCUAGUAGUC
rnacentral:rRNA from 1 species